rnacentral:rRNA from 1 species
UACGGAGGGGGCGAGCGUUAUUCGGAAUUAUUGGGCGUAAAGGGCGCGUAGGCGGCUGUACAAGUCAAAGGUGAAAUCCCUCGGCUCAACUGAGGAACUGCCCUUUGAAACUGUACGGCUUGAGGCCGGGAGGGGGUAGCGGAAUUCCCAGUGUAGCGGUGAAAUGCGUAGAUACUGGGAGGAACACCAGGUGGCGAAGGCGGCUACCUGGACCGGUUCUGACGCUGAGGCGCGAAAGCGUGGGUAGCAAACAGG